rnacentral:misc_RNA from 1 species
GCAGGAAGGGGUGGAAAGAGUGGAUGACGAGCAUGCAAGGUCUGGGAUAGAAUGGCUUGAGAUUCACAGAGUGAUGAUGGGGAAAAAUUAAAUGUGCCACGCUAAUUAUGGUAGAAACCUGGUUUGGUCAUUCUUCUGCCAGGGCCACAACGGGAGGGAGGUCUUCAUGCCUGCCUAGAGCUGCCCCAUUAUCAAAUGGAUGAAUUUUGUGGAUUAUUGUUGGAAGAAUAAAG